rnacentral:lncRNA from 1 species
AGAUAAUGGGUUAGUGAUACCUGAAGCCCAAACUCCUAAAAGCCAUUGGAAGAGCACACAAAACAUAGGAGCAGUGCUAGAAAGGAUUUCCUCUUACACAGCAGCAGAUCCUGGAGGGUAUGUGGACUUCCACAAUGGUGCGUCUUUAAGACUGUUCAGGUCAUCAUAUCCAAUGAGUUCUGAGAAACGUUUCACAAGACCUCAGGAAACAGCAGCAUUUAUGAAGACCAGACCAUCAUCAAAGAGUAUUGCGGCCUUACCUUAACUUGUGCCAGCCUUCACCUACAUAUAGACAUCAACCUACAAAAAGGACCCAUCUUGAGACCUGGAAGAGUAGUGACAACGUUUGGUCCCUUUAGAGAGGC